AAAAAAAGUUAAGUAGCUGCCAGAGCUGGCCUGUUAGUGAAAACGGCUCAGAUUCAAUAAUAAGUGAAUGAAAUGGACCUUUCACAGAAACUGAAGUAGUGAUUGAAUCUCUUGUCAGCUUCUCAAAUUCCACAUGAUCAAAACAUUGCUAAUGCAGAGUUGGAUGAUACUGGACACUUGCAAGUCUCCGGACUUGUCAGCAAGCCGGCUUUGUAUUGUAUGCAUCAUUUUAUAAGCAACUAAUGCGGAGAAAGGAUGGGUGCUAUGUAUUCAUAGAAGCAAGUUAUGCACCAUACCCUAUUGGAGCUUAUUGUAGUGGUUAUGGUGCAGAGUCUUAGGCCAAAAACAAAAAACCUCAGACAACACUGAUAAGCUGAUGGUGCUUAGAGCCUUCUUCUCCUGUGGUAUCUUCAUUUAAAAAGCUCACAUUUUACUUACUGUAAAUGUGUUUUACUUGGGAUUAGAGGCAGUGCACUACAACUAGAAUAGACUCUAAUCUGGAAAAGGCAUGCAGACACCUAAAGUGUCAAAGAGGUUUCUCCCCCUACUCCUUUAGGUAUAACUUAGUCCCUCUAUCGGUUCACAUAUUUGACUGUAAUAACAUUGUCCAUUAUAUACACCUGAUGUCCCUGGAGAUGUGGCCUGAAUUACAUAAGGGCUAACCAAAAAACUUUCUACUCCCUGUGAUUGUAAGAUUUCUUUGAAUUAUGAGUUCUACAUUUCCCUUUUGUCACUAGUGAGCUCCCCAAUCCCGCCUGGAAGCAUCUGUGGUGAUGAUCAUAAAAUUUUUCAUCUGAAAAGAAAGACCCUCUGUCAGGAACAGAGACAUUGUCCACUAGCAGAAACUCAUAAAAGUUGAAAUAUCAAGUUUAAUCAACUUGUCUAGAGAUAAAGUUUCUCUGUCACACACUGUUAAUAUGUUUUUGUGCAAGGGUCUCAUCCUUGCCUUGGCCCAGCUUACUGCUAGAAUUGCAGCUGUAAAUCGACAUAAAAGCCUCAUUGCUUCUCUUAUGGAACUUAUAUUUUAUGCUUGUAAAUUUAAACGUGAGCUUGCUUAUCUUUGUUCUCUUUUCUUCUGGCAGAAAAAUCUUCCAUGUGUACAGUAUGUAAGGUGAGCCCCAAGAAUUGAAUUGAGCGAGUGGAAGUCAAUUCUGAUUUUAUUUUUGUUCAUGACCCAUCCAUGUCUGUUUAAGGAAUCUGAAGCAGUUCUUAUGUACCUUAAAAGCUGUUCUGAAGAAGCUAUGAGAACCCAAUUGUCCAAGUAGGGUAAAAUAUUGAGACCUUCUUUGCUUAGGUUCGCUGUGAUAACCACCAACAUUUUUGUAAAAACCCUUGGAGAUGAGGAGAGGCCAAAAGAAAAAGUCUUGAACUAAAAAAGGAGAAGUUAUUCUUGAACUUUUAUUGAAAAUAUCACAAAGGUUCUGCUUUCUUCUGCUAGGAAAAUGUGCAGAUAAACAUCCUUUAGAAUGAGCGAACCCAGCCAGAAACCUAGUUGAUUAUUGUGAGUGGCAGAAAGAAUGAUCUCUUUUAGAUCCAAGAUCGGUCUGAAGUAACCAUCUGGUUUUUAUAGCAAAAGAAAUCUUGAGGAGGUUCUCAAAAACUAUUCUGCUCUUGGAAGUAUUUCUAUGAUUUGUUUCUGCAACAUUAUGAGCAUCUCUCUGAAAUGUACAGAGGAAGGUUUGGGAGAAUGUACAGUUCAACAAAGGACACCUCUUGGAGGUAUCUCGUUAAAGAGGUAGCCUCUUUUUAUAAUAAACAGGAUCCAGUUGUCUGUGGUGACAUAAUCCAGAAGCUUUCCUCCCACUGGAAUGGAGGGAUAAUCUGCAAUCCUUUUCAACAGAGAAUUUUGCCUUGUCCUUACAGUCAAAGGGUUGCCUCUGAUUUCUUCUGGAAUUGGGUCUCCAAAAGGACUUUCUGUAGAAUCAUGUUUUGCUCCACUUGGUCUUCUUACGAACUUCCAGUAAAGCAUUCUUUCCUUCUGUUAUUUGUUUAAACAACACAUCCAGAUAUGACCCAAAUAGUCUUCCUUGUUCAAACAGUAAAUCAUUGACUAUGUUGGAGAAGCCCACAUUGCCUUAGCGUAAAGUUUCAGAGCUUCUAAUGAAUAGUCUGACAAAAAUGUUUUUUUGAAAAUCCG